GGUGAGCCUCCAGAGGCCAUGUGACAUGAAGGAGUGUCAGAGAAAAAAAAGACCAAUGUGUCCUGGCAAACACAGCUCUGGAAACCCUAUGGCUGCUCGCUUGCAUUCCAAUCUUCCCUAGAAACAAUCCAAAAGCAGAAGGAAGAGAAAAGUCAAUGGCUAAUGUGGUUUAAAGUGAGGCUUUUCUAGUCAAGUUCUUCAACACCACAUAUUCUCCCAAGGUCUAGACUGCCAUGCUUCAUUUGUCUGCUCAGGUCUUGGCCAUCAGGAAUACAGAAGCAAUUAAGUAGAGAAACUCAGAGACAAAUUUCCAGAGGCUUGGGUCUUCCAUUCUCCACCUGCCUCCUCCAGAAGGACGGGUGGGGGCUGGGUGCGCAAGGCAUGGGCCAGAGGCCAUAUUCAGCCCCUGUUUCUCUACAGUGACCAGUUCCCAUUUCAUGCACAUGUCCGUUUCAUAUUCAGAACUUUGCAUGCUCAUGAAGAAUGUUUAAAAACCUCAAGACCCAAUAACAACAACAACAAUAGUAGUAAUAGUAAUAAUAAUAAACCAAGAGAUAAAAAACUGUGUAUGAAACACAAAUGACAGCAAAAAUCACCAAGAUGACAUCUGAACAGUCACAUCUCCUCCAGGACACUUAAUGUGGUGGGAUGGUGUUUCCUGAGCCAGGGAACCCUUGGGUCUGCUUCUGCAAGCCCACCAGAGCUUGCCCCACCACUCUGUCCUGGAAGGUGUGUCCCUUGAAAUGGGGGCCUUGAACAGGUGAAACCUUCCUCUUCUCAGAUACGUGGAGUCCUGUCCUGCCUGUGGGGCCUUGGCCUCCCACGUUAGCAAGCAGCCUCCUGCCUCUGUGUGAGACCACCAGUGGGCCCGUGCACCUGUCCUUUCCUGUUCUUUCUCAGUGUCCGGCAGACAAACCCUCCGUAUCAACUUUCACCUUAACAAUUAAUUGCAUUCAAGAGUAUUCUGAGAACUGCCCCAGAGCUUUCAAGGGAGUUCUGGCCACAGAAAGAUUGGAGCCAGCUGCUCUGGGCACAGUCUUCCUGACCCACACCUGCAGGUUCCAGAAUGCUUCUCUGAUACAGUGACUGUUCCACCAUGACUGUGUGUUUCUGAUAGUGAAGAGACUUGAGGACAGGGACCAAA
rnacentral:lncRNA from 1 species